GUCGUAACAAGGUUUCCGUAGGUGAACCUGCGGAAGGAUCAUUCACACGCAUCUGUUCACUUCACUUGAAUCUCCGAAAGUGAGAUCGCGCUUGGGGGUUUUCGUCCCCUCGCGUGGUCUCGGGGGCGGUAGGUCAGGAGUGGGUUUCCUCUUCGCCUGCCCUGCCGUCACUGUCUUCGACCAAUCAUUGCGUUUUUGAAUCUUUUCCUUGGCGUUUACCGUCAAGCUGUUUGAAAGCUUCCUCACAACUUUCAGCGACGGAUGUCUCGGCUCGAACAACGAUGAAGGGCGCAGCGAAGUGUGAUAAGCAUUGUGACUUGCAGAAUUCCGUGAACCAACAGGGAUUUGAACGUAUACUGCGCUUUCGGGAUACCCCUGAAAGCAUGCCUGCUUCAGUGUCUACUUUUGUUUCGUGCCGCUGCUCUGCUUCACCAUGAAUGUGUGGUGGUCCAAGCAGUGUCAGCUGUGUGCGUGUCUGUGUAUCAGGGUGUCUGCUGCCCUCGGGCUCUAGCCAGACGUCUGAUGCCUGCAGUAUUUGGGCACUGCUCGUCGAGCAACUUGCUGAACACCUUUUGGUGAGCUGUUAGCUGCUUUCGUCGUGCUUCUGUGGCCCUCGGGAAUCUUUUGGGCUUGCUUUUUCUAGCUGCCCUCCCUCCCAGACAUGAAGUUAGGUCAGCAAACCCGCUGAAUUUAAGCAUAUAAGUAAGCGGUGGAUAAGAAACUAGACAGGAUUCCCUCAGUAAUGGCGAAUGAACAGGGAUGAGCUCAGCAUUGAAAUUGGGGCUUCUGGCCUUGACUUGUAGUUUCGAGUAGCUCCACCAACGGAGGCGCAGAUGUAAGCCUCUUGGAAAAGAGCAUCAACGAGGGCGAGAGUCCCGUUUGUCAUUUGCAGUCCCCCGUGUACGGUGUGCCUACAUAGAGUCACGUUCCUCGGGAUUGGAGCGCAAAGCGGGUGGUAAAUUUCAUCCAAAGCUAAAUAUAGGUUCGAGACCGAUAGCAAACAAGUACCAUGAGGGAAAGAUGAAAAGGACUUUGGAAAGAGAGUUAAAAGUGCCUGAAAUUGCUGAAAGGGAAGCGAAUGGAACCAGUGUAUCUUGGUGAGAUUGUUGCGUGCUAAAGUGCGUGUGUGCUGCAUCAGCGCAAGCGGUGUAGUGCGCUCUAAUCUGGAUGUGCGUGGUGCUUCUUGCCUUGCGUGUCAACGUCAGUUUGGAGUUGAGGAAAACUCAAGGGACAUGGUAGCUCUCCCUCGGGGGAAUGAAAGUGCCUUGUAGAACUCAUCACCGGACUGAAUAUGGUGUGUCUUGGUGCAUUGCCUCAGGUCUCAUCUCCCCAGGCCUCGCGCAUUGGGUUGGUGUUACUUUGUUGCAACCCUUGACAUGAAUAUGGUGACAAAAUGGUUUCACUCGACCCGUCUUGAAACACGGACCAAGGAGUCUAACAUAUGUGCAAGUUCCCGGGUGGUUAAACCUGCUGGCACAAUGAAAGUGACUGCUGGGAUAUUUGCACCAGCAACCGACUGAUCGAUUGAGAGAGGUUUGAGUAUGAGCACAUCUGUUAGGACCCGAAAGAUGGUGAACUAUGCGUGA
rnacentral:rRNA from 1 species